UUUCCAAAAGUUCCCACGCAGCGGCACGUUGUUUCGCGUGGGGUUAGAUUCUGCGCUGUACGCAGUUGCUCCAACCGCGCAAGACGCAAGCAUGACGCAAGCUCAAUGUCCAGAGGUUUCAGCAAAAGUGAAACUAGGACAGUGUGCGAAGUCAACGGGGCUGUCGUCAAAGCGUGGAAUUCAUCUUCUUGUUCCAUUUUGACAACCUGUGCACUGCUGCAGCCUCAAGGAGGUUCUGCUUCUUCGCUCCAUCCUUUCUAUCAGGGGUUGUGCUAGCGGGAUGCACGGGUAGGUCAGUUUCGUAGCGGCAUGACGUUAACUUUGAGCAAUUGCAGCUGGGAAUUGUUAUGCUUGAUGUUGUGGUGUCAUGUUUCAUUCCAUGAGUAUGGUACAUGAAAAGCACGACAGCAUCAUCUUGCUGAGUAAAGUACGCUUUAGAUUUGAUGCGUAAAUGUGAAGCUUAGCAUGUAGCUCUGAUUUCAGAAAAUAGUGCUCAUAAAAGGUGAAAUGUGAGUGCACAGGUGACAAAAAAAGUUCUCAUUCUGUUGAUAGUAAAUAGCAGGCUAUUUGUGUUCAGAGUCGUAAAUACUCUGAACACAAAUAGCCACCGGAAGAUCGUGAAUUAGUCUUAAAAACAUGCUUAGCUUAGAAUUGAAAUUCACUCCUUCAAUGCAAUCAUGUGGUAGCAAGGCCUGCUUUCAUUCUUAUAUUGUUCACCUGUUGCUAAUAUCUUAUUUUUCUUUCUCUCCUUAGGUUCAUGUCGCCAAAUAUCAGAGGACCCCGAGGCUACUUAGGUUUAUUACGUCACAUCAUGAACUCUUGCCUUUAACUUUUUUGAAUAUUUCAUCUUGCUAUUUAUUUAUGGUCAUAUUUUAUCAUGUUGAAGCAGUUCAGCCGGUACUACUUUUCUUUCACACAAUUUGAUUUGAUUUCUUUUUUUUUUUUGUGAUGCUCAUGUAUUUGUGAUCUCUCGUGUCUAGCGCAGUCACUGUCUGGAACAUGAUUUUAAUUAUUUUGUUGUUUGGGUAUUCAAAAGAGUGGAGUUGAUUGUUAUUAAGUGUUGAAGUAUUGCAGGCAAUAUUUAGGAUUAGCACUGGAGCAUGACUGCAGAUAUUUCUGUAGAGUUGUCCUUGAUUGCAGUGGUUAUGAUUGAAAUGUAUUUCUUACUAUGUUGAGCCCUUCGGAGUAUGCAUCCCCUUACUCUUGGAACCUUAUCGGUGAGGGCAUAUGUGCAUACCUUGUUCUGCAUUGUCCUAUUCAGAAUAGCAUGCAUUCAUGAAGAAUAUUAAGACAAUGAGGCAACUGUACAGAAUAGGAAAUUGUUUUUGUUAUGUAAGUAGCAUUGUGCAUCACGAACUUGGUCAUCUAACAAUACCAUAUAUGUGGGUUUUGCGAGAAAAUGUGAAGUGUUGACCUCUGGGCUUUCUUCCUGCAUAUGCCAUGGAGGCAUUUACAUGACAGUGACAGAACUUGUGUUUCAGUGUUAUUUAUUUUUAAUAAUUUUGACAUAUUAUUAUCAAUAGAUGCAGUGGCUACACUUCAAUUAGGGCCAAAUACAAAAGCACUCACCUACUUGUGUUUAUGUACACAUUAGGAAAAUCCUAGGUUUCAUCAAGGUAAUAGAAUCUUUUUUUUUUUUUUAAUGUCAGCCCUUAAGCAUAAAAGAAAUUUCUGCACUACUGCCUGAUCGCGGUGCUGCACCCUAGAACAUUCAACUUAAAUUCAUUUUCUGUUGAGAAACGAAAAGCAAUGCUUGAGUAACCUGUCUUGCAACCUUUUUCAUGCGCAGCUUCAGAACCUUUUCUCCAUCUAGAGACUACGGACACUGAGAAGCCGGGUUGGGGACGGUAUUACCGUUGCAUCAUCUGCAGCUUCGAAACUGACAAUGCCAUCAGUAUUAAGCGACACUUCAGGAUUCAUAUGGUCGAGCGAUCAUUCAAAUGCCGUUUUGUUCUCAGAUCUUUGGACUUAGUUGUAUGCUGAGUGUAUCGGGGAACAAAAGGGUUUAAUGGACAUCAUAGUCGAAAUCAAGAAUAAUAGAUGGUCAUGGGCAAUACUGCUAAUGAGUUCUGGAGAAUCUCGCAAGGUGGUGCAAGGGCUGUGAAAGGGAAAGAGGACAACCACUUAUUUGUAGCACGAAGCCACAAUGAAAUCCAUACGGAUUUAUCAGAAGAACAUGCUUUUUAGUUGCAGAAAAAUUCAUCCUCAGACCAGGACAAAUUUUUUGGCAACGAAAAAUUUGUCCUAGUCCUUAACCCUAAUGGCAGUUAGGCACAUUGGUGUCUCUUGUAGCCAUUUGUAUCUUACAUCAGUGUCUCUUGUAAAGCCAUUCGGCUGUAUCACCCUCAGCUUUCAACUUUAGUGUUGAAAAGAUAAUCUCUUGCUCUUUCUUAGUUGUCCUAAUCUAUAUGGUUGUAGCAUACUUUCCACUAUACUUUCAUGUGAGGAAUGCUUGUAAUUUAUCACAUACAGCCUGCACAUUUAUGUGCAUGGUUAUACAGUACAUGGACUGAAGGAUGUUAAGCUAUAUUAGGAUAUUGCAGUGAGAGAUUGAGCAAAUACAUUAGCUUAUUAAGGGUAACAGUGUGACACAUGCUCGUAUAUAAACGUAGUCAUCUUGAAUAGGCUUGUACUAAUAUUCUAAUGAAUAUUACUGUAUUCAAACCCACUACGAUUCGAAUUGAAAUUAUUCAAAAUUUCUAAGUAUUCUAUAUCAACGCACAGAUACAUAAAUGUCUGCCGGUGAUCCCCUGUAAAAGUGGCUUCACUGCAUUUAAGAGUGCUAAGUCGUAAAAACACUUACUUAUAAAAAUUCAGAAGCAGCUUUCUUUUCAAAUAAAAAGCAACGCUUCAU